rnacentral:rRNA from 1 species
CCCUUAGAUGUCCGGGGCUGCACGCGCGCUACACUGAAGGAAUCAGCGUGCUAGAAAACCUUGUUUGACAUGGCUAGGUAACCCGUUGAAAAUCUUUCGUGAUUGGGAUCGGGACUUGCAAAUGUGUCCUUUGAACGAGGAAUUCCCAGUAAGUGCGGGUCAUAAGCUCGCGCUGAUUACGUCCCUGCCCUUUGUACACACCGCCCGUCGCUGCCCGGAACUGAGCCGUUUCGAGAAGACUGGGGACUGCGAACUUUGGGCUGGAAAACAGCUUUUUGUUUGUGGAAACCACUUUAAUCGCAGCGGCUUGAACCGGGCAAAAGUCGUAACA